CCCUGGUUGGCUCAGUUGGUAGAGCGCUCCACCUGUAAUGGAGAGGUCCCGGGUUCGAUACCCGGACCAGGCG
rnacentral:tRNA from 1 species